rnacentral:rRNA from 1 species
UUGCGGUUAAAAAGCUCGUAGUUGGAUUUCUGUUGAGGAUGACCGGUCCGCUCUUUGAGCGCGUAUCUGGUUCAGCCUUGGCAUCCUCUUGGGGGAACGCUUCUGUGCUUGAUUGCAUGGGGCGGUAUUCAAGACUUUUACUUUGAGGAAAUUAGAGUGUUCACUGCAAGCGUUAGCAAUUGAAUACAUUAGCAUGGAAUAAUAAUAUAGGACCUUGGUACUAUUUUGUUGGUUUCUAGAACUAAGGUAAUGAUUAAUAGGGACAAUUGGGGGCAUUCGUAUUAACGCGUCAGAGGUGGAAUUCUUAGAUUGCGUUACGACGAACUACUGCGAAAGCAUUUGCCAAGGAUGUUUUCAUUGAUCAAGAACGAAAGUAUGGGGAUCGAAGACGCUUAGAUACCGUCGUAGUCUAUACCAUAAACUAUGCCAACUAGAGAUUGGAGGUCGUUCUCUUUAUGACUCCUUCAGCACCUUAUG